rnacentral:rRNA from 1 species
UACGGAGGGUGCAAGCGUUAUCCGGAUUCACUGGGCUUAAAGGGCGCGUAGGUGGGUUGGUAAGUCAGUGGUGAAAUCCCCGAGCUUAACUUGGGAACUGCCAUUGAUACUAUUAAUCUUGAAUACCGUGGAGGAUAGCGGAAUAUGUCAUGUAGCGGUGAAAUGCUUAGAUAUGACAUAGAACACCAAUGGCGAAGGCAGCUGGCUAGACGAAUAUUGACACUGAUGCACGAAAGCGUGGGGAGCAAACAGG